rnacentral:lncRNA from 1 species
GGAAGCGGCUCGGGCGGGCGCAGGGUCGCGGGUGUAGGGUGGCGGCGCUCCGCCUUUCACCGACGCACCUGGGAGAAACAGACCGGAGGACGCGGGUGGCGCGGAGCACGAGAAACAACGAGUUUCUGUCUAGAUCGUGGGGGACCCAAGCCCGGGGUUGCGUCCAAGGUCGGGGAUGGAGAGGACGCGACCCCCGCGGCAGUCGAGAUGGCCUUUUUAAAAUUCUAUAUUUGAGAAGGAGUCUCGCGCUGUCGCCCAGGCUGGAGCGCAAUGGCGCGAAAUCGGCUCAUUGCAGCCUCGACGUCCAGGACUCGAGCGAUCCUCCCGCCUCAGCCUCUCGAGAAGGUGGGACCACCGGUGGGCACCGCCACGCCCGGCUAAUUUUUAUUAAUGUUUUGCUAGAGCCGGGAUCUUGCUGUGUUGUCUGGCUGGUCUUAAACUCCUGGGCUCCAGCGAUCCUCCCUCCUCGGCCUCCCAAAGCGCUGGGAUUACAGGCAUGAGCCACACUGCGCCUGGCCAAGCUAGUGCAUUUUAAUUGACCUUCACUUCAUGUCAAUUUAUUUUUUACACUAUUCCAUUUAGUCCUCAGAACAGUUCUUUAGAAUUGGGUAUUGCUCCGUUUACGUGGGAAACAUAGCAGCGAGGUAACGGGCUGGGUCCCGUGCUGGGAACGGGAGCCCUGCUCAUCUGACUGCUUGCACCCUGUGCUGUCUAUGCUGGGCGUACUGGGGGGCGUUAGGGAAGAGACCACAGGUACGAUGCAAUGCCUGUCCUCAAGGAGCCCAUUGUUCUCAUGGGAACACAAAGCUGACACAUCGAGAACAAACUAUGGAACAGGCUGUGGCUGAGGGCCAUGAAGGAAGGCUGCCAAGUCCGGGCCCAGCCAGGUAGCAGCCACACCUCUAUCUACCCUGCUCCCCAACACUGGGCACCAGCACUCACCUGCCCAGGACCCACAGUGAAAACCCACCCACAAAAAAUGCACUUUGGAGAAGAGUAGCAGGUCCCAGGCAGAGCCAGGGCCACCUCUCAGAAAGGACAUCAAGUUUCUCGCCCAGCUGAGAGAUGGACAGAUGACCGCACAAGCCACUCACAGCCCAAGGUGAUGGACUCUAGGAUAUAUUCAAGGCUGAGCAACUGGCUUGAAGUCGUGUCUACUUACAUAUUCAAAGACCUAGUGAGCAUUCACAAGUCAUUCUUUUUACCCUCCAACUAGCCGUGUUCUCAACCAGUCUACCUAGGAAUGCUGUUGGCUGUGAAAACUCCAGAGGCUGGUAUCUUUAGAGUUCCUUCAGGGUGCAUUCAGCAUCUGAGCCUAGCGACUCUUGAGGAGUGGCCAGAAGGCUCCUCUCCAGGCCUCACAGAGGGAAACACUGGUCUAGUGAGAGACCUGCGUCCUGCCCAUCAGGACCGAAGCGGCACGCGUGAGGAUCCUGCAGGCCAAGAGACAACAGCGAUUACAAACCCCAGUCCCAGCCUUGCAGCUGACCUUGCAGGUGACGCCCUGCCUGGGUGUCUCGGUGCAGCUGCACAUCAGGGGCCUCUGCUGGACAGAAGCUCUGAGUCCACACUUGGCCCCCAGGCGCUGGAGCUGGAGCACUGCCACGAGAGGGGAUGCUGCCGUGGCUGCGCCAGCUUCAGCCCUUUCCCUGCACCGAGAUGUCCCAGUGAGCGGCUGGGUGCUCACAGUUCCCGUUGGGCCAUCAGAGGAAGAUCAAAGAUCAACCCUCCCCCAUGGGCUCCUGCCUGCCUGCCAGGUUUUCCUGUCUCCUGGAGGACAAGGAUGAGGGCUUUCCACUUGAGUCUCCCUGGUGGAGCCCAGCUCCUGACAUACCUGGUAAAAGUUCUCAAGAGAAGAACAUGGAGGAGGAAUGUGGAUAACAACCCUGGCUGCCUGUGUGUUCCAAGCUAGGAAGAUGUAAUGUCCCCACAAACGGGGUAAAUGGCUUGCCUGCGUCACAGCUGUCUCAAGCCCAGGCCCUGGGUGCCAGCCCAAGCCCAAGGACUAGGUCCAGAGCCACACAGCGCCAGGCCACAUCCGCCUCACCUGGGACCUUUUGUGGGGUACAGUCUCCGGCCCCACCCAGACCUGCUGAAGGAGAGACCCCAUGGCAAGGACUCAGCCACCUGCAGUUUCAUAAGCCCCCAGUGGGUUCCUAGGCAUGAAGACCACCGGUUAGAGGCUGAACUGGCAGGAACCUGUCUCCAGCCCCUUCUCACCCCAGCCGGGCCCUGCCUCAGAGGCAGCACCCAGGACGUGGCCAUGACCCGUGGACUCCACUCAAUCCCUCUUCUCCAGGAGCCAUGCAAAGUGUCAGCCAGCCAGGCCCCUGGAAGGCAGUCAUCACCUCUUAAGGCAUUGCGGGUGUCGGUCCUGCAACUGCCAGGUGCAGCACACGACCCAUGUCCGGUGUUCGAUAGCAGGGAGCCAUGACCUGGCAACGAUUCCACGCUCAAAGGGGCACCCGGGGGGCCCUGGGUCGGGGCGGAUCAGCUUUCCCUGGGCACAUCUGCCUCAUUCCAGAUCUCCAGGGCUCAUGUCUGUGACAGGGAGGGAAGGCUCUGCCCUGGCCUUCCGUCAGCUCUGCCAGUGCAGGCUGGGCAGCCUGGGCUUUAGAGCUGGCUUCUGCCCACACUUUCUCCGUGAAAGGAAAACAACUAUGAGUCUGCCAAACGCAUCUCAGAUGCGUUUUAAAAAAUUCUGGUCCCCGCUCUCUGUCCCAUCAUCUGCCUCGGGGACUUCCUCUCUCCGUGGUUCUCACCCCAUACUCUGUCACUGCCACAUUUUCACCUGGGCCUGGCCUUUGUCUCCACCUGAAACUCCUGAAAAUCUUGAAAUGGAUUUCUAGGUCACUGGGGACUCCGGCAGCACAUUCGGCUUCAGAAUAAAGGGCGCCCGCGGUCCCCCAGCACCUGCCCAAGCCACACCCCUAGCUUCCCUCCCUAUCCCUGCAGCCUGAGGGUCCCUUCAGCCACCCCUAAGUCCCCACCUGGGCUCCUGCCCCGCCCCUGGCUAGCAGCGCCUUCUCCACCGGGGCCCCUCUGCUCACAGAGCCCCCUCACCUCCCUGGGGAUGAGGGGCCAGGCCAUGACCCUGAAAGCCUAGCCCUGGCCUUGACCUCCCAGGAGCGCCCUCCCCGCCCUCUCCCGGCCCCGGCCCCGUCCUCUGCUGCUGGCCUCUGGGUCGUGCCCCGCAGACUGAGCUGCGCUUGGGGGUCCUGGCGGCCUGGGCCGUCCCGCACCGAACCCAGGCGGUCGGAGCCCGGCGGGGAGGCGCGAGGUCCUUCUGGGGGCUCCUCCGACGCCUGAGGG